CAAGUCUUUCUGCUUUAUAUAAGUUCCAGUUGGUCCACUUGGCAGCGUUAGACUGGCCUUGUACGCUGCUCGUUUUCUUCGUCGCUAAGAGAGGAAGAGAGAGAGAGAGAGACGUCCCUCUCCCCAGAUUCACCACGCGUGCCGUCCCCAUCCUCUCUUGCCUCCUUCCUCUCGGUUCGUCGUUUCAGUGUCGGUGGCUCUCGUCGAUUAGCACGGCGGCGCCGAAGUUGAGGGCUUCAUGGGCGAUAUCAAGGCGGAGGAAGAUGGGUGGUGGGAUGGAUCUGGUCGCCGUGGUGUCGGAGCUCGGCGAGGGGAGGAGUUCGACCCUGGCCCCUCACAGCCUCGCUACCUGCCUCCUCUUCAUCUCUUCUCCCUCGUGCUCCUCGUAAUCUCAAUCUCCAUCUUCGUCGGUAUGCAUCGUCCUCCUCAUCUGCCACUCAUCCACCAUGCCCAAGGCUAGCAGGAAGAGGCCGACCAAUGGUGCAAGCGGCCAUGACAACUCAAGAGACGCCGCACCUGCCCCCUGCCUGCUUUACAGGCACCAUCUCUCUCUAUCUCUCAUUCUCUCUUUUUCUAGAUUUUCUCAUAUUUGUUUCUGUGCCUGCAAGGUGUUCGAUGUAAUGUGGUCAAUGUAUAGCGAUUUGUAUGUUUUCUUGUUUAUCUUCAGAUGGGGCAAUACUUUCAAUCAAGCUGGCUACUUAUAGACGUCAUCUAGGUUCCAAUUCUGUGGUCAUUUCUUUUACACAUAAUGGACACUUCUUGGGAAUAUGAUGCAGCCAAUUCUAUUUGUUUAAGCCCAGUUGCUUCAUUCACUUUAGGCUGAUUGUGAUGACACGAGUUCGCAACCAUUGACCUCCCUUCAACGGAACAAGGGAUCGGAAUUCUCGCGCAUGAUUAAAGAGGCGAAGCAUCUUGGCUUGGCCGGCAUGCCUUGCUUGGAUGGCGUCGAGGAAGCAGAAGCACAGUGUGCAUUGCUUGAUUUAAACUCAUUGUGCGAAGGCUGUUUUACAUCAGAUUCAGAUGCUUUUCUUUUUGGAUCAAGGACAGUUUACAGAGAAGUCUUCAUAGGGGACGGUGGUUAUGUCAUUUGCUACGAAAUGGAGGACAUAGAGAAGAAGCUUGGUUUUGGCAGGAAAUCACUGAAACAGUUCCUCGCGACCACAGUAAAAAUCAUGACGUGGCAUCGCUCCUUGCUCAACCCAGCGUUUCGCUCUUGAGAAUUUUAAUACUACGUAGGAGGACAUAGCUGCAUCAGUCUGAUUAGCAGGAAGAUGGUGAGGGCCCUUGGAAAGUACCCGUUUUUGGAACGUCCAGUGCUGCAAAUUCUAAGCAAGGCCGGCCCUGGCGUAUGGCCAGAGGGACGACGGCCUAGGGCCCAGCCCUGGAGGGGGCCAUGAUCUGGUAUCGAAUAGAGAAAAUGGAAGAAAGGAACAACAUGAUGGGCUGGCCCAAUUGAUCGUUAGCGCUAGGAAAUUAGCGUGGCACUCGCACGACGGCCGCAUCUCGCACGGGUCCAUCCUGAUCGCUUCUUCCUCUCAAUCACAACUCUCUCUAACCUAUUCCUGCCACCGCUCAGCCUGCCGCAAGCCGCCGCAGCCGGCAGACAGUUCUCUACUGUGCUGUCAUCGCCCAGCGCCCCCGGUCUCCACUCUCCAGACGCUGCUGAGCACGGCGCACACCUACAUCGAUUUCCAGAUCCCACAGGAAGUCUGCAUCGUACCAUCGUCGAGUGUCAGACACUAAUGGUGAUCCGAUCAAUCGCAGAUUAAUAUCAGUGCUUAACGAAUGAACCUACAUGGUGAGUCGAUAAUAGUUGUCAUGGACGAGUAGAACCAAGGAAGAAAUUAUUGGACGGAAUUGACAACGCCUCCAUCAAAAGUAACUAUGCACGGAUGGGUGCUAGAAGAAUUUUUAAAGGAGGUAGUUGAACCGAAAAUUCCAACCGACCCUAUUGUCGAGAGGUUAAA